GUUCCCGAUGAUGGAUAUAUCAAUACCAUGCUAAUGCUGAGAUAUAUGAUUAAAUCCUUCUCUUUGAUCUUCUGAGGGAAUU